rnacentral:rRNA from 1 species
UUGGCCUUUGCUUUUUGCUUACUCAUGUUAGUCCACGGUAGGCUUUGCUUGCAGGGUGCUCUAGUGUCUAACGGGUGAUUAACACGUGGGUGAUCUGCCCCUUACUUUGGGAUAAGCCUGGGAAACUGGGUCUAAUACUGGAUAGGACCCUGCUGUACGUGGUGUGGUGGAAAGAUUUUUUCGGUAAGGGAUGAGCUCGCGGCCUAUCAGCUUGUUGGUGGGGUAAUGGCCUACCAAGGCGUCGACGGGUAUCCGGCCUGAGAGGGUGGACGGCCACAUUGGGACUGAGAUACGGCCCAAACUCCUACGGGAGGCCCCGUGGGGAAUAUUGCACAAUGGGCGCAAGCCUGAUGCAGCGACGCCGCGUGGGGGAUGACGGCCUUCCGGUUGUAAGACUCCUGUUCAGCCAAUGACCAAAGCCUAUUGUGGAGACGGUAGAUAGUAGAAGAAGCACUCGCCUAAACUACGAGCCAGCAGCCGCGGUAAUACGUCAGGGUGCGAGCGUUGUCCCAGAAUUACUGGGCGUAAAGAGCUCGUAGGUGAUUCUGUGCGCGUCAUUUGUGAAAGCCCGGAAUCUUAACUCCGCGUCGGCAGAUGAUCACGGGCAUGACUGGAGUACUAUAAGGGAGACUGGAAUUCCAGGUGUAGCGGUGAAAUGCACAGAUAUCAAGAAGGAACACAGGUGGAGAAAGCAGGGUCUCUGGGCAGUAACUGACGCUGAGGAGCGAAAGCAUGGGUAGCGAACAAGAUUAGAUACCCUGGUAGUCCAUGCCGUAAACGGAGGGCGCUAGGUGUGGGUUUCCUUCCACGGGCAUCUCGUGCCGUAGAUAACACACUAAGCGCCCCGCCUGGGGAGUACCGCCGCAAGGCUAAAAAUCCAAAGGAAUUGUACGGGCGCCCGCACAAACCGGCAGGAGCAUGUGGAUGAAUUCCGAUACAACGCUGAAGAACCUUACCUGAGCUCUGACAUGCACUGGGAUGCGGCCAGAGAUGGGUGUUCCCUUUUGUAGCCUGGUGAGCAGGUGGUCGCCAUGGUGGUCGUCAAGCUCGUGUCGUGAAAUGUAGAGUUAAGUCCCGCAACGGAGCGCAACCCUUGUCUUCCCUGUUGGCCAGCAAUCUGAUUGGGGACUCGCGGGAGGCUACCGGGGUUAACUCGGAGGAAGGGGGGGAGGACGUCAAAUCAUCAUCCCCCUUAUGUCCAGGGCUUCACACAUGCUACAAAGGCUGGUACAGAGAGUUGCGAUCCCGUGAGGUGGAGCUAAUCUCGUAAGCCAGUCUCAGUUCGGAUUGGAGUCGGCAACUCGACUCCACGAAGUCGGAGUCGCUAGUAAUCGCGGAUCAGCAAUCCUGCGGGGAAAACUUUCCCGGGCCUUUUACACCCCCCCCUUCCCCUCAGAGAAGUUGUUAACCCCCAAAAUCCGGGGGGCAAAACUUAUUAGAGAGCCUCGCUAACGGGAAUAAGAUUG